GCGCUCGGUGGCCAAAGGCUUCGAUGGCAAGUCACUCACACUGGCUGACAGCACCCGGAUUGCUGCAGACCUGCUGAUCGUCGGUGCGGGUGUC
rnacentral:tRNA from 1 species